rnacentral:tRNA from 1 species
CGGGGAGUGGCGCAGUUUGGUAGCGCGCUAUGUUCGGGACGUAGAGGCCCCGGGUUCAAAUCCCGGCUCCCCGACCA